GUCACUUACUCCGCCAUAGGCAUAAUACGGCUCUGACCCUUAUCUAUGGUCAAGACCCGCUAUCGCAACGCGGAUUUCAUAUAUUUGCGCUUAAUUCAUUCGACUGUUUGUGUUCCUUAGUGCAAUCUCUUUGUCUUUUUCCGUAUUUGUGUGGAACAAUAUAACGCACCACGAUGAAGAUAUUGUGUGUCCUUAUACUAUGCACUAUUGCACUAUCAUGCGCUGAGGAUACGGGGGCCUACUACUGUGGACGUCGACUUGUUACCAAAUUAAGUUCGCUUUGUUAUAAUAAUCAAGAUUUGAUUUUAUCCCAACUUCAAAAUCAACAGGGUGACCAGCAGAAUGAUCAACCGCUUCAACAAAGGACCAGGCGCUCUUUAGUUGACGAUUGCUGCAUCAACAAGUGUGAUGAGAAAACAAUUCUCAGCUAUUGUUAUUAAAGUUAUAAAAUGUGUGUAGAAUGUAUAAUAUAGAAUAAAUGUUCUGAAGUCAA